ACGCUCGACACCUACGGGAGGAGCAGUGGGGAAUAUUGCACAAUGGGGGAAACCCUGAUGCAGCAACGCCGCGUGAAGGAAGACGGUUUUCGGAUUGUAAACUUCUGUUCUUAGUGAAGAUAGUGACGGUAGCUAAGGAGCAAGCCACGGCUAACUACGUGCCAGCAGCCGCGGUAAUCUGAGGCGGGCGUGGACGAAGGC
rnacentral:rRNA from 1 species